rnacentral:rRNA from 1 species
CCUACGGGAGGCUGUAGUGGGGAAUAUUGGACAAUGGGGGCAACCCUGAUCCAGCCAUGCCGCGUGUGUGAAGAAGGCCCUCGGGUUGUAAAGCACUUUCAGUGAGGAAGAACGCCUGGUGGUUAAUACCCAUCAGGAAAGACAUCACUCACAGAAGAAGCACCGGCUAACUCCGUGCCAGCAGCCGCGGUAAUACGGAGGUUGCGAGCGUUAAUCGGAAUUACUGGGCGUAAAGCGCGCGUAGGUGGCUUGAUAAGCCGGUUGUGAAAGCCCCGGGCUCAACCUGGGAACGGCAUCCGGAACUGUCAAGCUAGAGUGCAGGAGAGGAAGGUAGAAUUCCCGGUGUAGCGGUGAAAUGCGUAGAGAUCGGGAGGAAUACCAGUGGCGAAGGCGGCCUUCUGGACUGACACUGACACUGAGGUGCGAAAGCGUGGGUAGCAAACAGGAUUAGAUACCCUGGUAGUC